CGGACGGUUGCGCGUAUGCGAGGAAAGUCCGAACACCGCAGGACAGGAUGCCGGCUAACUACCGGUGAAGGCGACUUUAAGGAAAGUGCAACAGAAAUAAACCGCCGUGAUUUUUCGCAGGCAAGGUUGGAAAGGCAGGGUAAGAGCCUACCGCGCCCUCGGCAACGAGGGUGGCAAUGUAAACCCCAUCCGGUGCAAGGCGUGAGGGAAACGGGUUGUCCGCCCUCCCUCCGAUGCCGCUUGAUCGUAUCGGCAACGAUACGGCCAGACAGAUAACCGUUCUCGACAGAAUUCGGCUUACAGACUGUCUUG
rnacentral:RNase_P_RNA from 1 species